GACGAACGCUGGCGGCGUGCUUAACACAUGCAAGUCGAACGGUAAGGCCCUGCUUUUGUUGGUUGCUCGAGUGGCGAACGGGUGAGUAACACGUGAGUAACCUGCCCUUGUCUUUGGGAUAACUUCAGGAAACUGGGGCUAAUACCGGAUAUUAGCUGCUGCUGCAUUGUGGGUGUUGGAAAGUUUCGGUGGUUGGGGAUGGUCUCGCGGCUUAUCGGCUUGUUGUUGGGGUAGUGGCUUACGAAGGCUUCGUCGGGUAGUCGGCCUGAGAGGGUGACCGGCCACAUUGGGACUGGGAUACGGCCCGGACUCCUACGGGAGGCAGCAGUGGGGUAUAUUGAACAAUGGGCGGAAGCCUGAUGCAGCGACGCCGCGUGCUGGAUGACGGCCUUCGGGUUGUAAAACGCUUUCGCCUGUGAAGAAGCGUGGGUGACGGUAAUGGGUAAAGAAGCACCGGCUAACUACGUG
rnacentral:rRNA from 1 species